GGCGGUGUCUGCCUCCGGUGCCCGUGCUGAAGCAUCAGAUCCCCCUGCUUUAGCUGUCUCCUCCUAGCCUUAGCUAGCGAUGGAGCUGUACACGAUUUGCUAGCUGAAAUAUUCACCCAUGCUCGUGGAUGGUCGAUGAACACUUAAAUGUAAUUGCGUUUUUCUCCUUUAUGCUUCUUGAUAGAGAGAAAGGGGCAGAGCUGUCUACUACAAACGUGAUGGCUGAAACAAGAGUGGUGGGACCGAAAUGCAGAAGAAAUGCUAGAGGUGCUUUUGUUCUGGAGCUGAGCAAGGGCUUGGAACCCAAAAGGUUAUUUAUUUACGUAUUUGUUUAUUUUUAAGCCGCAUUAGAUGACAUACCAGUGUAAUCUAAUGAGCUUUACUUUACAGAUGUUCCAGAGCAGUCCCUGCUGCACUAACCCUCUUCUCCCUGUAGUUCUUUAGCAGCUUUCUGUGCCCUACUCGUGGCCGGGGGUGGAUUUCCCAAAGUGCUUGGCACUGUAACUGAAAUUUUUAGGCUGUGUAAAAUUUUCAGAUUAUUUUUCAUUAAGAUGGGAGCGCUGCGGUAUCAGUACUCAGGAGAGCAGUGAAAAUCUGCUGGAUACUAAUGUUUCACUGGCAACAGUAACAAGGACAACUGUGUCUCUGGAUAAGAAUCAAAUUCUGCAUCCCGUUCAAGACGCUUUCCCUUCUGCUGGAUCUUGCCUGCAUGAUGAAAACUUUGCAUUAGCCACAUCAGAGCUGUCAUGAACACAAAAUUAUCUAUGCUGAUUUUAGCUUAAUUUUACUAGGAAUUAGCUUAUUUUUACUUGGAAGCAGUUGAAUGGAAAGAAACUUGGUAGCUGAAAUAAAAAUGGUGCUGGAGAGGAA